UCCGAGUUGACCCCGGCAGUCUCCUAUGAGUCCCCACCAUCACGUGCUGGCAACAUAGAACGAGGGUUGCGCUCGUUGCGGGACUUAACCCAACAUCUCACGACACGAGCUGACGACAACCAUGCACCACCUGUGAACCGGCCCCAAAAGGAGAAACCACAUCUCUGCGGCGGUCCGGUCCAUGUCAAGCCUAGGUAAGGUUCUUCGCGUUGCCUCGAAUUAAGCAACAUGCUCCGCUGCUUGUGCGGGCCCCCGUCAAUUCCUUUGAGUCUCAGCCUUGCGGCCGUACUCCCCAGGCGGGGCACUUACUGCGUUAGCGACGGCACUCAGAGGGUCGCUCCCCCAAGCACCUAGUGCCCAUCGUUUACGGCGUGGACUAC
rnacentral:misc_RNA from 1 species